CCUAAUAAAAUAAAAUACAUAUAUAUUGUUGGCAUGUGACAGUAUAUAUAAGUAGGUGAUAGAGCAGCUUGCCAAGAAGGUGGAUCAGCAGCUUGUAAGCUCCUUACAAGCCGGUGUCUACCAAGUAGCUGGUUAAGAAGCUAAUAGUCAAACCAACUAAAAGGGUAGGAUAACCCAAUAGUGAGGGUUUCAUGGUAAACUCUAGAAGGUAAUUCCAUGUGGCUUGUAGUAAAAUGGUACUUCUUACAUAUGUUAUCUAGCGUCAUAUGUUAGGUAGUAUUGGAUGUUGUCGGUGAUGAACUCAUGUAUCCUUCUUCAAUACACCAGACGACGCCAUGUUUGAUGUGUCGUCAGAUGAGGUUGAUGGCCGAUUUUAUAUUUUCCAUUUUUGUUGAAUAGUGUUUGCAAGAGAAUUCCUUCAGUCUUGAUAGAAAGUCUUCCAUGAUGUUCUCCUUUCCCUUCAUGUGUUUUACUUGGAAUUUGUAGAGAGAAAACUAUUGAGACCUUUGGAGAAUCUACAGAUUUGGUAUGAACUUUGGAUUUAGCUGGACCAUUUUCAAAAAAGCUCGCAUAUCUAUUUCAAUCUAAAUUCAGUGUGAAUUAAAAAGAAGUUAAACUUUUUAUUUCCAUUCUUUACAGAAAGAAUUUCUUUGAAGGUGGAGUGGUAGUGUCGUUCUCCUUCUUUGAACUUUCCACUUGCAUAUCCGCAUAAUAUUUGCUGGCCAUCUUUUUCUUCUAGGAGAAAUGCGGUCCAGUAAUCAUUGCUGGAAUCAAUUUGUAAUAUCAUCCUUCAAUCUAAUGGGAUGUGGAGUGUCCUGACUUCUUUGGAUAUCCCUUUUAUUUCUUAGAUUGCAUCAUCUUAGUCCUUUCCCUAGGCUUGUGCAUUUUUCCUUAGCAUCUUUGUAAGUAGAGAGAAAUAUGUAGGGACGUCGAAAAUAAAAUCUCUAACAUAAUUAAUUAUACCAAUGAACUGUUGGAGCUGUUUAGCAGUUCGUGGCAUAUAUGUGGUCCUGGAGUGUAAGACCCAUGGGUAAAGUGCAUUCCCAAAAAGUCAAUUUCAUCUCGCAUAAGGGCCAUCUUUUUUGUUGAGAACAUAACUCUAUACUACUUCACCAGGCCAUGAAAUUGACGAAGGAGGGCAAGGUAUUUUUAUAAGGUAUUGUUGAAGAGUAGUAUAUCGAAGAUAUAGACUAAUGAUGUAUAGAGGAAGGGAUGGAAUAUCCUAAUCAUGGACUUUUGGAAAAAUAAAGGGGAGAGUUUGAGUCCGAACUACAUAAACUUCCUUUGGUAAUGGGCGGUCGGGAAUGCAGAAGGUCAUCUUAGCACUAUCCUCUAGGUGUAUGCCUAGCUACUAGAAGCUUAAUUUGAGAUCAAAUUUGGAGAAAUGUGUGGUUUUUGCUAAGUGAGAGAAUAGGGUCAGCUUUUUUAGAAUAGGGAAUUUAUCGUCUAGAAGGAAGUGGUUUAGAGGUUGGUAGUUUAUGAAGAGAUGGAGCUUUCCCCUUGUCUGUUCAGCAUGUUUGAUGACAUAGAAUGUCUCGCAAUCCCAUUGGGAAUUUGAUGGAUAAAUGAGCCUGAAUUCUAAGAGCUCUGUACACUCUUUUUUGGAAUUUGGAGAUGUUUGGGAAUUAUGCUUGAAUGGCUAGCCUUUGUAGGAUUAAUAUUUUAUUUAUUCUUGAAUAGGAGCUGAUUAAGAACCCCUGAUUGAUCCAUAAGGGAUUUUUAUUAUUUCUAAGAAACUCUUUGUCAUAUUCUGCACAGACUUAUUCUAUUAGCUGGUUCUCAAUCUUCUUUACUGGAUCUUAAUCAUCAAACUAGAACAACCUUGGUAUGGUAGAAUAUUGCUUUAAUCAGACCAUGAAGGCUAACCUUCCGUCAGGAUGAGGAGGUGGUUCCUAUGUUGCCUAUAUAUGUCGAAUCUAAUAAUUAAGUCCUUCCUUGGGAUAUUAGAGCCAAAGAAGUUUUUUCGGUAGAGUACUCCUAGGAAGAAUUCAAUCAUGAUCAGCUACAUCGUUAUUACCCUAAUUGUGAGGACUCCUCCUUUUGAUGUUGUGCCAAAGGUCCUGAAGUGAGGAACCUAUUAAUCUCUAGGGAUGAUGUCAGGAUUUAGUAUUGAGACCGUUAUUUCAGUGUCCAUGAAUGCGAUGACCUGAAGGGGUUUUCCCUAUUUUGAUGGAUAUAUUCUUAGUUUGACGUGAAAGGUUCCUAGGUUAGAGAUCAUGUUGAUUCCUUUGGUGAGCAUAUUGAUCCUAUUGAUCUGUUCCAUCAUCUGAUUAAGCUCACUUUUAUUGAUAGGCAAUGAUACCUUAUCUAAGUAGUUAUUAAUAAUAAGGUGCUAAGGUUGGCUGUUAAUAAAGAGGGAUAGUGAAUCCUCUGCCUUGUCAAUGGCUGGGGGUUGAGCAGUCAUCAUUUUAUCUGAGGAUUGAGUCGCCCUUUUAGCCUUCCUAGAUUAAGUAAAUGCUUUUGAAAAGUGGCCCUUGUCAUGGCAGAUAAAGUAUUUGUCCUUACCUGGAUUCUCUUUAUGGAGGAUCCUGUCAUUUUGUUGCUUGUGGGUUCUUUAUCCGUUGGUUUCUGCUUUUUGGCUUGUCGAUAUUUCAUAUACCUCUUGUUUCUUUCUUGGUAUUUUGAGAGCUGGUGAGACUCGUCUGGUUUUGGAUCUUGAAUCAGCUUAAUUGAUAGAAAUCAGACCAGUAAUUUUGUCAUUGUCUCCGAGAGGGGCGUGAUCUAGAUUUAUGGGCGGCGAAAUAGAACUUGAGAUCAUCAUGUGUGCCAGAUCAACUAAAUGGGUAUUCAUAUUAUGUUGUCGUUGUCCUUCUUCCUCUAGAUCAGUGUCAUCAAUAGGGUUAGUAUCCCUUAGAUAUUCCUCAAUAGGGUCAUCAUUGAAUUGUUGAGGAGUGUUAUUCCUGGUUUCUGCUUAGUCUGGAUCUAGGAUAGAAUAAUCUGGCAUAGUGGGAUUAUCAGUCCAGAAGAUCUGUAGACAUGACUAGUCAUUAUUGAGAAGGCAUAGUUUGGUGGAUUCCCAGACUUUAUCUAGUGGUGGAUCUUUCUCAUCUGGUAUGAUAGGAUCUAGACUAAAGAAAAUAUCAUCGUGUAAUGAGGGAGAAGACAUUGCGUUCAUGUUAUUUACAUCAUAUGGGACCUUCUUCCUUUUAAUCUGACCUAGUGCCUUAUCAGCUUGCUUAUGGUCUAUCAUGGCUUCUUUUCUCUUUCAUGAGAACCUAGCAAGGGUAGAUUCUUGUUCCAUAGGUGGAAGAGUCAAAAAUGGUUGAUAUAGUUCUUGUAAUGAUGUGGGAAAUAUGGUAUUUGUUUGGAUAUUGUGUGGAUUAGUAGUACCGUACUUCAAAAGAGUAAUCUAUUCCUCGGAUGAUGUCAUUUGUCUUUAUUAUAGGUAAAUAAAAGAUAGUAUUAAGGUUCCUAGCGGACAUAUUUCAGCUUGGAUAGUCUGUCGCCUUUCUUUGAGUAUUUUGAUGAGUCUGGCACAUGGGUUGGAUUCUUGAUGGCCCUUGCAUGGCAUUUCUAAAGCAUGGCUUAGGUUAUUUCUUUUGGGUUAUAGGCUCCACUCCUAGUAUUCAUCCCACACUAUUUCAUUGUCUUCAUAAUCAUAAUCCUGUAAUUGGUACUUGUCACAUUUCACACAGUUACAAUUAUUAACCCAUGGACUGUGUUUUGUAAAAGGAUAUUUGAACCAGUGUACGUUGCUUCCCUCAUUAUUGCAUUAUUGUAUCCAAUUAUUAUUUCUCAUGGCUUCUUCAAGGAGAUUUGUGAUAUGUGUCAGGUCUGGAUUUUUUUCGUUGGAUAUUUACCAACAGGGAUAAGCAUGCGGAUAGGCAGAUAUAUGUGAUGAGGUUUAGUAGCUGGGAUGGGGUAAAAGGAUCUGAGACAUCGAGGAUAUACUCUCAACCUCUCAUAGUUAUUAACCCAUGGAAUUGGAAGACUUGUGAGCAAUUCCUCUUUAGAUAGGUGCCUUGAGAUUUGUGCACCCAGAGUAGAGUUAUUGGUGGCAUCUAUGACUAGAUAUAAGGAGGUCCGGUCACCUAGCAUGGAUAUGGUUUAUCAUGGUUUGCUAAUGUGUGAAUUAGGAUACACAGAAUUGAAUAUGUAAAUGUAUCUCGGCAUUUGUCGAUAUCCAUCAGUCGGACCACCUCUAAGCAUUUCUAUAGGACGCUCUUUUACUAGCCAUACCUUCAUACAAUUAAUAUCAACACCAUAAACCACUUUCAUUUCUUCAAUAAUGCCUCCUGUCCUGCGUUUUCUCUUAUGAUUAACUAACUUAGGUGCUAUGAAUUCACUUACAAAAUCCAUUGUCACCAAUACAUUUUUCAGCACCAAUCGGAACGUAUGUUCCGUAUUAAAUCUCUGAAAACAUCACAGUUUUUGAUGUAUAUGUAAGUUCUUCUACAUAAUAUUUUUUUUAAUAUACAAACCACAAAAAAAAAUCAUCACAUCAACACUUAUAAAAAUAUGCUCAAAAGAAUUCAUUGUACAAUAAACUAUAAAUAACAGCAGAUAGAAGUUAUUUACACAUAGUUGAUUGUAUAUGUUUAAUAAAAUAUAUUAAGACACCAAAUUUAAGUUAAUCAUAAAACAAAAAAGUACUAGACAUAAUACCUCUUUUUGUCAGGACGUUUAGUUCUGAAAUUAAAACCAUGGGUUAAUGCAUAUUUUGCCAUUAGUAAUAAAAGUGUUGACUUAUCCUUAUGCAACUGUUUCACUUUCACAUCAAUACUUUUGCUCUCACAGAUUAAGUUUUUAACCUCAAACUAUGGCACGUACAAUCUAUAUUGGUUUUCUCUCUCAACGACGAAAAGAGCAAGCACAUCUGUUUCCAUCCCUUCUAAACAAACCACAACUUCCAUCGAGCUCUAUAUCCUCUGCAUAUUUAUCCAUUGUGGUUAUGCACAACAGAUACAUUAUGAAUCCAGGAAGAGUUUUC
rnacentral:lncRNA from 1 species